rnacentral:lncRNA from 1 species
AUUAGGACCGAUCACGUGAGAGCGUCGCCUGGAUUUAACUUUCGGCCAAGUCUUUCAGCCCGGUAGUUAAAUUUACAGGCUGAGGGCUGGUCAUGGUUUUCCAGAAUGAAGUAAUGCUUUCGAUCAAACCAAGAAAAUGAAAGCCAUAACGAAAACAGCACUGCCUGGGCACUUCCAGUGAUAUUCCUUUUAUUCAUUGGAGGCUGUCACUCGAUCCGAACCCCAUGUCUAGUUCUUAGGCAAUUAAGAUUUCGGGAGGUGGGGUGCCUUAUAUGUCACUCUAUUUUGUGGUGGAGCCCUUUGAAUUAUUUGUUUUUCCAAAGAGGGCCUUUUACGAGUUUUGACGUGUAGAAAGGGAAUUUUUAUAAAAGAGGAUUACUAUGAGUUCAAGAAAAAAAUUUUAAGCAU